CUGGUAACCCACCGCAUCUGGCCAGAGGCCACACAAAGCUUAUUUGAGGAGGGGGCUUGUAGCUCCUUGGAAAGUCCCUAAGACCACCACCCCAAUAAGCCGCACAUGCUCAGUAGAUAAAGAACCCUCUGGAACGCUCCGAUGUAUGUUGAGAACUGUCUGGAAUGAACCCAUAUAAGUCUUCAAGAGGCGUGACUGUGGACGGAGAUUUAGACUAGAAAAGACACAACUGCAAAGAGCCACGUUGCGCGCGUCCGUCACCGGAGGAUUGCCACGCUCGUCGCCGACAUCGCGGGAUCCAAGGGUAGCUCACGUCAGAAUUCCCAUUCUCCCGGAUGCGAGGACCGUAAUGCAAGUUGACGAAUGGAGAGGAAGCCUGGAUGAAGUAAGGUGAUUUUGAAUCCUUUCAGGAAUACCUGCACGUCCUUCUGGAAAUCAACAGGCAGAGUGUUUUCUCAAGUUGAAAAAUAAAGGCCGCGCUGCGGCUACUCCGACCCCCGCGACAGGCGCUGCGGCUGAACCAGAGAACCAACCUGUGCCAGUAUCAGUCGCCCCUAUACAGAAGAAGAAAUAUACAAAAAAAUCAGUUCGUUUAACGAAGGACGAAGAUGAACCAGGGUCAUCACGAGAACAGGAGGAAGAGGCAGAACCAGAAGUAAUCACCCGAUCUCUAUCCCUGAGUGAGCUGC